GCCAGAGAAACUGUUCUCAAGAGCGUGAAUUAGGUGGCAGCUACUAUUUUAUGGUACCUCACUAUCCACUUUGUAAGGAAAACAAAAAGAACACAUGAUGAGGCUCUGGGUCAGCCAGGAUUCUAGAUUCUGCUGCCAGACACAUCUUACAAGGGUAGAGUGCUUGUUUCCUCAUCCCAACCCCAAGCUUCUCCUCAAAGGUCAGCCUUUCUUUCUUCCCCUCAGCUCUGGGAGGCAGUAGCAGGGACCUCCCUCCACUCAGCCCAGCCUGGACUCCCAGCCAGGAGGCUGGGGCAGUGAAGUCUCCGAGAGCAGAGGGAGCACAUCCCCUGACACCUCGCACAUGGCAGUUGCUUCAUCAGUGCUGGUUGUGCUCCUGAGAACUCAGCAUGGAGAGAGGCCUAGUCCCCACUCCCCUGCUCCCAAUUGCUCUGUGACUCAUUCUCACGGUUCGCCCUUCAGGUUCUGGUUCUUGAAUUUCUCCUGCUCCCUCCCACUCCCAGGCCUUUGCCAUGUCUCCCCUGUGCCUGGAACACUUUUUGAUGCAGGUCACCUCCAGCUGAGUCCCUGCCCCAGGGACAGCAGCUCCUGUGAUUUUGGUUCAUCAUGGUAGGUCCCUCCUUCUCUCUCUGUUCUUGGGAACUGCCACCAUCCUUUCUGUUCUUUAACCUGCUUCUCCGCCAAUAAAGGCAGAGUGGAACACUCUUUUCCUGGCUCCUAUUUCCUCGCUGCCUCCAAAGACAAGCCCGUCACCUC
rnacentral:lncRNA from 1 species